GGUGGAGGCUGACAGUGGGUUGCGACUUGAUGUCCUUUAAAGGUAUAAAAUCAAAUUCCUGUUUUGUUCUCUUCAGAAGGAUGUCAAGGAAGUAACACAUGAACUGAAAAGUAGGACAUAAUUGCACGCUCACAGGUUGCCAACAUAGCCUUAGUGUGGACAGCCAGCUCUCGUCAGGUUGAACUUGAGAACCUCACACUUUCAAGACCAAACUCGGCCAUAUCGUGUACCAAGCUUCUUUGUCUCCUCCUCUCUUAUCUGGCCGCAGCGUCCUGCCUCUGGCCCUCUCUCCCCUAUCAGACUGAGAACAGUAAGAGUUAGGGAAAGUGAUAAGUCCCAGCAUUUGUUUGUCUGUCCACACUCAGGAUUCCCCCAAGGGAACCCCUUUGUCUCUGAUCUGCCACCUGCAGAGCUCAGAGGACUUCAAGGAGAUGUUCCUGUGAUCUUUGUGACCGGCUGUCCCCGGAACCCUGGAGCCUGUGGGCCUCCCUGUGCAGUACCCAGGACUCACAGGCUCACACACAGACUGACACAGUGCUGAGGAGCUGAUUGUCUCGAGGGGAGGGGCAAACGAUAAAAGACUCCAACCUUCUCGGAUAGUAAAGUUUUUCAAGAAAACUGUAGCUGUCCCGAGAGGCAUAGCUUACAAUCCUGGUUACGGGGAGACAGAAACUAUCCGAGUUAGUUUGAGGAAGCUUAUACUACAGAGUGAAGUCGUGCAUUUUCUGAGCACCCUGAGGAGAGCCUGUAUCAGAAAUUUUUUUUUAUUAUUUUUAGUUAAGAAUAGAGCUGAGGAUAUAACUCAGUGGAGAACACUCGCUUAGCUUGUGUCAGUCCAGGUUCACUCCCCAAUACUGGCUCUGCCUCCAGAAAGUCUUGUAUUUGAUUUGGGGGCUGCAGGGGGUCGGGGGAAUUAACCUCUCUUUAAGACAACUACAAGAAAAUAAUACUACUCAAAACUUAAAUUACAGGUUGCACAUCCAUUAGGAUAGUUAUGAAACAGAAUAGAAUUACAAAAUGGAGCCACAGUGUUUGGGCCCAAGACAAGAAUGUAUUGGCCAAAGACCUUGAAAAAGAACCACCCAGUGACUGACUCGCUGUGGGAGCUUCUCUUUGCAGUGUCCGUGACGCUGCCCAUUUGCCUUUACCUCACUCUUCAUUCUUGUAAAACUCACUCUCCAUGGAAAGGGAGGCACAGUGACUCGGGCUGGAAGGCAAGGGGCAGUUAAUAAACACUGGCACUUGAUGUCAGGUAAGGGUAAAUUUGCAUUCUGAAUGGCUAUACAGAAAGACACUUCCCAGAGCAAAGAUUAAGGGCUGGAGUUCUUGCACACACGAGGCCCUGGGCUCAGUCCUUAGCACUGCACACAAAAAAAGGAAAUGUCACAUGUGCCCUGUAAUACAUAAAAUUACUGCAUACCAUUUUAAACAUGUUAGUAAUGUAAGGUAGAUUUAAGGAAUACAUCUUCUAUAAAAUGAAAGAUUAAAUUAAAAAAAAAAAAAACAUGUGUGGGGCUGGAGAGAUAGCUCAGCAGUUAAGAAUACUGACUGGUGUUCCCGAGGUUCUGAGUUAAAUUCCCAGCAACUACAUAGUGGCUCACAACCAUCUGUAAUGGGAUCUUCUAGUGUGUGUCUGAAGACAGCCACAGUGUACUCAUGUAAGAAAAUAGAUUUCAAAAACUUU
rnacentral:lncRNA from 1 species